rnacentral:rRNA from 1 species
UACGGGGGGGGCAAGCGUUGUUCGGAAUUACUGGGCGUAAAGGGCUCGUAGGUGGCCAACUAAGUCAUACGUGAAAUCCCUCGGCUUAACCGGGGAACUGCGUCUGAUACUGGAUGGCUUGAGGUUGGGAGAGGGAUGCGGAAUUCCAGGUGUAGCGGUGAAAUGCGUAGAUAUCUGGAGGAACACCGGUGGCGAAGGCGGCAUCCUGGACCAAUACUGACGCUGAGGAGCGAAAGCGUGGGGAGCGAACAGG